rnacentral:rRNA from 1 species
AACGAACGCUGGCGGCAUGCCUAACACAUGCAAGUCGAACGAGACCUUCGGGUCUAGUGGCGCACGGGUGCGUAACGCGUGGGAACCUGCCCGUAGGUUCGGAAUAACUCCCCGAAAGGGGUGCUAAUACCGGAUAAUGUCUUCGGACCAAAGAUUUAUCGCCGUUGGAUGGGCCCGCGUUGGAUUAGCUAGUUGGUAGGGUAAAAGCCUACCAAGGCGACGAUCCAUAGCUGGUCUGAGAGGAUGAUCAGCCACACUGGGACUGAGACACGGCCCAGACUCCUACGGGAGGCAGCAGUGGGGAAUAUUGGACAAUGGGCGAAAGCCUGAUCCAGCAAUGCCGCGUGAGUGAUGAAGGCCUUAGGGUUGUAAAGCUCUUUUACCCGGGAUGAUAAUGACAGUACCGGGAGAAUAAGCUCCGGCUAACUCCGUG